GACGAACGCUGGCGGCGUGCCUAACACAUGCAAGUCGAGCGGAGAUAAUAGUAAUAUUAUCUUAGCGGCGGACGGGUGAGUAACGCGUGGGCAACCUACCUUUCACUGGGGGAUAACACAGGGAAACUUGUGCUAAUACCGCAUAACAUCACGAGACGACAUCGUUUUGUGAUCAAAGGAGAAAUCCGGUAGAAGAUGGGCCCGCGUCCGAUUAGCUAGUUGGUGGUGUAAUGGACCACCAAGGCGACGAUCGGUAGCCGAACUGAGAGGUUGAUCGGCCACAUUGGGACUGAGACACGGCCCAGACUCCUACGGGAGGCAGCAGUGGGGAAUAUUGCGCAAUGGGGGAAACCCUGACGCAGCAACGCCGCGUGAAGGAUGAAGGUUUUCGGAUUGUAAACUUCUUUGAUGAGGGACGAAAAAAAUGACGGUACCUCAAAAACAAGCCACGGCUAACUACGUGCCAGCCGCCGCCGUAACAC
rnacentral:rRNA from 1 species